GCAAGCGUUGUUCGGAAUUACUGGGCGUAAAGGGCUCGUAGGUGGCCAACUAAGUCAGACGUGAAAUCCCUCGGCUUAACCGGGGAACUGCGUCUGAUACUGGAUGGCUUGAGUAUGGGAGAGGAUAGGGGAAUUCCUGGUGUAGCGGUGAAAUGCGUAGAUAUCAGGAGGAACACCGGUGGCGAAGGCGCCUAUCUGGCCCAAUACUGACGCUGAGGCGCGAAAGCUAGGGGAGCAAACGGG
rnacentral:rRNA from 1 species